rnacentral:rRNA from 2 species
UACGAAGGGGGCUAGCGUUGUUCGGAAUCACUGGGCGUAAAGCGCACGUAGGCGGACUUUUAAGUCAGAGGUGAAAUCCCAAGGCUCAACCUUGGAACUGCCUUUGAUACUGGGAGUCUUGAGUUCGGGAGAGGUGAGUGGAACUGCGAGUGUAGAGGUGAAAUUCGUAGAUAUUCGCAAGAACACCAGUGGCGAAGGCGGCUCACUGGCCCGAUACUGACGCUGAGGUGCGAAAGCGUGGGGAGCAAACAGG